UCGUCUUCCUCUUUGUUUUUCGAAUCACAUUGGAAUUUGAUCUUCAUCGAUGCCACCUUACCUCCGAUGAUAUUAUUUUUCUCUGUUCUUAAAAGGGUUAGGCCGGUCUCAAAACUAGAAGAAGAAGCAGCCUGUUAACGCUUAGAAAUUUGCAUUAUACAACGACACCAAUAUACAAACAAUACAACCAUAUGCAUAGGGAUAGCUAUCAUAUUUGACACAUCAAACUUCCGUACAAUACUAAAUUAAACUUUGUUUCUCAAUUUCAUUUGUUACCAUCGAUUGAUGUAACGACGUUGGGAUAGAAAUUCAUAAAUUUCAUUGAAAAUCUAAGGAGAAUGUUUGGCCAUAGAAGUUGAUCUUGAAAUAGAUGAAGAGUUGAUGAACUCAAUGCAAUCUUCUAUGGCUUCUUCUCUAUGAGAAUCAACAGGAGCCACGAAUGGCAUCGAUCUUCUAGAUGACGAGUCCUUCCGUGAAGGCCUCGCCCUCACAGACGCCGUGCCCAGACAUAGAGUUCCCGCCACCCUGUCGGCAAGAUUUUUGAGUAGUCUCAUUGGCAAGAAUCCAGACCACAUAGGAAACCUGAAUCUAAAAGUUUCAGCAAACCUUCCAUCUUGCACAACGCUACUUGUUGUAGUUUGUUUCUUCUUGACAUACUCUCUGUGGCUCACCUGGGUCUUGGCUCUUGUUGCCAUAAAAAAAAAUUUGAGGUCGGUAAGAAAAACAGAGCGAGAGCGAGAUUGAUAGAGCUACGAGCGGAAUUGAUAACGAGCUAGCUCUUAUAGUCGGAGGGUGGAAUAGUGUCAACAAGAUCUGCCAAAAAAGCAAGAUGAAGACAGUGAAAAAAAAACUCCAGCAGUAACCAAACGCAUGAUCUUUCUGUUCAAGUAUCAAUAAAGUGACGCUGACCCCUAAAAUCAACAAAGUACAAAAAACAAAUAGAAUGGACGGAAAGUGAAAUUAGUAGCACAUCAGCAUUGUUCACACCUGUAAUUUUCAGCAUAGACUCUGUGUCAUCAUUCGCACGAGUCUUCUACGUGCCCCCGUUCACCUGAUUAGUCACAUGAUAAGUGAGAAAGAUGGAAAUGGAAAUCUUUCUCGGGAUAAGAAAUUUUUUCCACUGCUGAUGACUUUAUCCCUGAGACCAUUGUGUUGGAACAUUCACACAACACACACAUAAAUAGAGCUUUUUAGGCCAUCCAGAAGAAUUUACUGCUUACAAUUUAAGUUUCCUCAGUUCGUAUACUCUACAAAUCUACUGCUUAUAGCAGUGGUGGUGACUGUUGAGAGACAAUGGAAAACAUUAAUUGAAAGAACCGAGGAAAAAUAGUCCGAAAAAGUUGAUCGUUCACGAAGAAAGCGAAAGGCGAAAAGGAUAUCUUAUAAGACGUAGGGAAGAAGACACCAGCAAGCAUCCUGCUAGUUAGGUGCUUUUGUGGGGGAUAAUGCUUGUUAGGUGCUUUUGAUCAUUGUUAGAAUCUCUAAAGCAAGCCGUCUGUCAUAAGAUAUUAGGGUAAAUAGAUGGUCGUGCGGCACUUACUUUAGAGAGUAGACAGAGGUUUCAAUGACUUAAGAUAAUAUGAAGGAUAUAUAAAUACCACUCAAGUUUUUAAAACCCCAUCGAAAUCAUAGCAUAACAUGCACUAGCUCUCUAGAUCAACAACUUUUCUUCAUUAAACAAACUAUCUUAUGGGGCCAGUUUGAUAACCAUUUCGUUUUAGUUUUAGUUUUGGUUGUUUGUGCAAGAGAUAGACGGGAAGUAUAUGGGGGAAAAGGGGACGAAAAAGGGUGGGCGAUAGGUGGAGGGAAGGAAAAUGAAUGAGAUGUAUGAAAUGAAAACUUGAAAGUGAAAACUUAAAAUUGUUUUCACUAUUUUCUUACCAUUCCAUAUACGUUUCUCCCAUCAAAAUCAUGGCGUAACAUGCACUAGCUCUCUAGAUCAACAACUUUUCUUCAUUAAACAAAUUAUCUUAAGAGGCCAGUUUAAUAACCAUUUCGUUUUAGUUUUAGUUUUCGUUGUGUGUGCAACAGAUAGACGGGAAGUAUGGGGACAAGGGUACAAAAAAGGAUGGACGGUGGGUGGAGGGAAGGAAAAUGAAAGAGAUGUAUGAAAUGAAAACUUGAAAGUGAAAACUUAAAAUUGUUUUCACUAUUUUGUGUACCAUUCCAUCUACGUUUCUCCCACAUCCCAUACACCAAUCUUCUGUAUCCGCCCUUCUCCCAUGUAUUUCACCUCUAUCUCUAACCGAAAAAUAAAAGCUAAAAACGAAAUGUUAACAAAUUGUCCCUUAAGAUCCAAAACUACGAGUUUUGUUUUCUACAGAGCAAGAAACUAGUCAACAAAACUUGCAAAACUCACAAUCAAUCCAUCCGAACUUUUCCUUUCAGACGUAUCAUCAGUCAACCAUCAAACCAAACUGAUUAGUGACAACUUGAAAUCAAUACACACAAUAACGCUCAAAUUAUAUCUUAUCAAAUGAUACAGAUUAGCCUACUUGAACUCAAUUUCUGGAUUAGAUACACUCAAUAUCGUGCAAAUUAUAUCUUAUCACUAUGUCAAGCACAUGAUCCACGUUCAUACGAAACCAAACUCAAUCAUUUCUAAUCAGUAUCCAGAUGUUUACUAGAGAUUAACCGACAGAAGCCCCUUCAAGACCAGAAAUGCAAGGACUGAAAUCAUUUAGUAGCAUCCUUACCACCCAAUACAUCAUCCUAUUAAUUCUGAUGUCUCCUCAAUAAUCUUGAGCACCGAAACACAAUACACGCACAAGGGGAACAAACCGAAAAGGAAAAACAAAACGAAACUGUUUCUUCUAUCAGCUGAUUGUAACUUAAGUUUGUUACAAGCAUAGUUUAUAUACAGUCAUUUGAACAUCCUAUCAGAUUAUUUGAUUCAAGUAAAAGAAAAUCACUAUGUAUUAUUCAUAACAAGCAAAACUUCUCCACCAUAUCCAAUGAUGUAAUCCAAGAAUUCUCUUAACCUUUUUCAGUGUCUUCAAAAGCCUAUGGAGCAAAAAGAUCACUAUCCAAAUUGUACCGAACCCGUCAAUCUUCCUCAAAUUAACCCAAUGCCUACUUUUCCAAACCCCGGCAAACAUUCUACCUAGAACGUUAAGCAGAACGCCCAUAAAACCAGCAUCUCCAGGCCUGUCUAGAUCAAUUGAAGAUGCGCCGUUACGCCGAUCGUGCCAAACCACAUUCUUUCUCUUGUCUUCUAAAGUAGCAAUUAGUACAUUUAUGUCAUAGUUUCCAGUGAGUGCAUUAUGAUGGGGUUUGAAGAGCACAGAAAAGGGUGUCCAUUUUUCCUUGUUGGGUUCUUCAAGAACAAAUUUUUCAGCAAUCUCAUCCAAGCUUGACCGAGUAAAUGCAUCUUUUUUCUGUGCUACAAACUUUUUCAUUUUCUUCAGGUAAUUUUACGAUUCUGAGUAACAGAAUGGAUAAUUCGAAGAAGAGAAAAUGGUGCAUAACCUUUUAACUCAAGUAAGCAAUAGUCCCCAACUAAAAAUGUAUGAUCACUAGCUCUUUAACUCAUUAAAACAUACAAAUAUGAUCUUUUUUUCGUCAAUUCCGCCAGAAUUUGAUCAAAAUGAGUUAUGUUGGAAGGACUAUUGCUACAAUUAGAUGAGAGUUGAGGGACAAUUACUCUAAUUGGGUUAAAAGUGAGAGACCACUUCUCCAAUUGGGUUAAAGUACAUUGCUACAAAUGUCUCACUUGAAUUUCUAUAUUUACCUCUUAAUUCAGCACAGAAGUUCUAUCAGAAUUGACAAAAAGAACCAUAACUGCACAUUUUGAUGAGUUAAACAACCAAUGAUCACAAACUUUUAGUCAAGAGAUCUCUACUUCAAGUUAAAGUUAAAGGAGCAUUGUGGCGGUUGGGCGUUGGCUAUGCAAAAACCGAACUGCAAAGUGGCGAAGUAGAUGAAAAACGCAACGUCGGAUAACCUUAUGGGCAAAACCACAAGACAUGUCGUUUAUACAAAAACGCGCCUGGCACGGAUAGGCAGCGGGCGCUGUGGUAGUGGAUAACAAAUUUGAACACCAUCACUCACGUUGCAAACUCUAUCACUCGAGCUCCAGCUCUCCAACAAUGGCGACCUCCGCAGCGCCCAUAUCGCUCUCCUUUUUCACCUCCUCAAUCUUCCUCCCCUCCUCGUCCCACAAACCCUUCUCAGUCCUCGCACCCACCAAUUCUCUCAAAACUCCCAAACCCCUCAUCGUCUCCGCUGAGCUCGCCACCCUCCCAGUCCUCUCCUUCACCGGAGAUAAGGUCGGCGAGACCUUCCUCGACCUCAAGUCCGCGCUACCGGAUACCGCUCGUGCCGUCGUCCACCGCGCCAUCAUCACUGAUCUCCAGAACAAGCGCCGCGGCACAGCAUCCACCCUCACCCGAGCGGAGGUCAGCGGAGGAGGGAGAAAACCCUACCCGCAGAAGAAGACGGGUCGUGCCCGUCAGGGUUCGACCCGCACCCCGCUCAGGCCCGGCGGAGGGGUCGUGUUCGGACCCAAGCCCAGGGAUUGGAGCAUCAAGAUCAAUCGAAAGGAGAAACGGCUCGCGAUUUCGACGGCGGUGGCGAGCGCGGCGGAGAACACAAUCGUGGUGGAGGAUUUCAGUGACGAGUUUGAGAAGCCGAAGACGACGGAGUUUAUUGCGGCGAUGAGGAGGUGGGGUUUGGACCCGAAGGAGAAGACGACGUUUCUGGUGACGGAGGUGGCGAACAAUGUGAGGCUUUCGAGCAGAAAUAUUGGGACUUUGAAGAUGCUGACGCCGAGGACUUUGAAUCUGUUCGAUAUUUUGAAUGCCGAUAAGUUGAUCAUGACGCCGGAGACAGUGGAUUAUCUGAAUGCGAGGUAUGGGGUUGAUUACGAUGGAGAGACGGAGGACGAGGAGGACCACGAAGAGGGUGCAGAGCUGGAAGAAGACGGAGGAGUUGACGUUCAAGGUUAAGUUUUUAUGCCAUUUUUUGAAGCCAGUUUGGUAUGAUUUGAUUUGGGUUUGUUUAGUUUAUGUGCAUUUGUACAACUAGUUUUUUGGAUUGGUGAAUUUGUUGAAAAUUUUGAAUUGAGCUUGAGAACAUAUGUAUGCAUAUUUACGUUUUAAUAAAACACUUUCGUUACUAUUCACUUUUAACGAAAAAUCACACUUACAACUCAUUAUCUCUUUAUUUGUCAUUUUUCAUUAAAACUAAAGUUUUUUUUUUUUACUUUUCGUUAGUUUUCCUUACAGUAAUUGGGUUCCGAACUUGGAACAUGGAGGAUAAAAGUUUGCAGGGCAAUGUGUUUUUUCUGUUCCUAACAAGUGAUAUUAGGGAGGGAGAAAAUGAACAUAGACACUCGGGGACAGGGUGCAAUGUGGUUGUUUAUUUAUCAAACUCAUAUUUGUCGAUUCUAGUGAGCUUAGGGGGAAAUCGAAUAUAGGACUUAGGUGCUGGAGGGAAUGCGAUUUUAGCGGAGGGGAGAAUCGAAUCCAGGACCUCUGGGGUAGGGGGCAAUGUGGUUUUCCUUUUUUCAAAGUCAUAUUUGUUGAUUCUUGCUUGAGUCAGGAUGUGCAGGAAGGAUUAGGGAUUUUUGCAAGUUUCAGUUUUAUAGGAUGUUUUCUUGGAAUUUCCUUUCUUGAUCCGUUUUCAUUUUUCGAUUUCGGAUUGCAGGGACAGCGGCAGAUGAGAGUUCUGAUGCGGCCGAGUGAGGCGACAGACGAACUGUUUUUGUAACCACUUUGCAUCCCCUAGAUUAACCUGUGAGGAGGAUUCAUUUCAGUUCAUCCCUAACGGGGUGAUCAAGAUUGCAGCCAAGUCAUUUUUGUAUUUGUUGUAAAAUUUGCAGAUGAAAUUCAAUACAAUGUAUCUAAUCAGUUCUCCGAAUUUGUUAGCAGGAAAUUCGGGAAAAUAACCCUUUUCUAACGCAUGAAAGACUCGAGUCAUUUUUCUUCAAGAUUUAGAAAUAUAGCCUCGAGUGAUGCUCGAGUGGUUACAGUUUUAGAAACUACAAAUUCGGAGCAAAAUGAACCGAGAUUUGUGCAUGUUUUUGCACUUAAUUGUGUGCAUACCUUUCCGUUUUUACCAGCUCCGAGCUCGAAAAAUGAGUUUUGGGAGGACGAAACCAGUUGCAAAAGACGAGAGAACAAAAUGAUAAUGUUCAGUGUGAUGCUAUGUAGUGAAGCUGGUGAGUUAUAAGCAUUAGUUUCCGGUUUGUACCAUAGAAUUGCCACGCAGUUACUCCCAGCCGUGCAGACUGAUCGGACCGGCAAUGAUGCCCAUCAGCUAGCCUGAACCGUGGACGAAGGCUCUCCUUCCCUGUGCAAGCACAGAAACAGGAAAAAGAGAUGCACACUCCCUACGCAGGCAUUAACCUGUUCAGGUUCAAAGGGACUAUCUCAGCCCGACCUGCUCACAUACUAACCACGAGGCCAGUGCUGGAGCAGAUACAGGCACCCCUGGUGCGUCCUUUAUGUCAAUAUGAUGCUAAAAACUAAAAAUAUAAACACAUCGAUGUAAUAUGAACAGAAAGCAUUUUAUUACGAAGAAACACAAGCUCAAGCAAGAAAAGGAUAAUGUCGAAAGGAUAAUGUCAUAGCAUGAAAAUGAAAACCUAAGACCUCCGUUGUGCACAAGCCAAUCAUGCACGCAAGCCUCCAGAGUCGUCAAACUGAUUCUGGUUAUUCACGCAAACCUGCAACUGUUCCCAUUGUAAAACAAAAGAACGAAAAAAGAAUUAGAACAGCGUCGAUUUGAUCUGUAUUUGCUAAAUGAAGAUAGUAGAAUGCACGAUAGUAAGUUUCUUCUUCAAACCGAUUCACUAAUGAAUGCAGCUUAAAUUUAAAAAACAAAACAUUUACUGACCUUCACCUCUCUGUGGACCUCUCUGCGGCUUUCACAUAACUUUCUGGCAAGUAAAUUUCCCCCCCAACUUCACCAUGUUGUUCUCCACUGACAGUUUUCUUGGCAGCAAGAAACUCAGCACUCAUAGCAUCCAUUCCACGAAUCACAGCUUCCUCAGCACUCCCGUAACCAUGCUCUUCAGCGUACUUCCUCACGUCCUCCGUUAUCUUCAUAGAACAGAACUUUGGACCGCACAUUGAGCAAAAAUGGGCCACCUUGGCACCAUCAGCUGGCAGGGUUUCAUCAUGGAAUGACAUGGCAGUCAUAGGGUCUAGUGACAAGGCGAACUGGUCCAUCCACCGGAACUCAAAUCUUGCCUUGCUCAGUGCAUCAUCCCAGGCUUGAGCAUAUGGGUGACCUUUGGCUAGAUCAGCGGCAUGAGCAGCUAUCUUAUAUGCUAUAACUCCAGCCUUCACAUCAUCACGGUUUGGCAACCCAAGGUGCUCUUUUGGGGUUACAUAACAGAGAAGGGCGGUGCCUAGAGCCCCAAUGUUGGCAGCACCAAUGGCAGAGGUGAUGUGAUCAUAUCCUGGAGCAAUAUCAGUUGUUAGAGGACCAAGAGUGUAGAAAGGCGCUUCGUUACACCAUUCAAGCUGUUUUUUCAUGUUUUCAGGAAUUUUAUGCAUUGGAACAUGUCCAGGUCCUUCAUUCAUGACCUGAACAUCCUUUUCCCAUGCCCUACGGGUCAGUUCGCCCUGAGUUAAGAGUUCUGCGAACUGUGCAGUGUCGUUGGCAUCAUAAAUGGAACCAGGUCUCAGCCCGUCACCAAUUGACAGGGCCACAUCAUAUUGAUUGCAGAUGUCAAGUAUGUCAUCCCAGUGCUCGUAAGCGAAAUUCUCUUUGUGAUAAGCUAAGCACCACUUUGCAUGAAUGGAUCCUCCUCGUGAAACAAUACCAGUCAUACGCUUUGCUGUUAGUGGGAUGUACCGUAGUAGAACCCCAGCAUGGAUGGUGAAGUAAUCUACACCCUGCUCGGCUUGUUCAAUAAGAGUUUCUCUGAACACUUCCCAGUUAAGGUUUUCUGCAAUUCCGUCCACUUUUUCAAGCGCUUGAUAAAUGGGUACGGUCCCUACUGGCACAGGAGAGUUACGCAGGAUCCAUUCACGGGUCUCAUGGAUGUGGCGUCCUGUAGAGAGGUCCAUAACAGUGUCAGCACCCCACAUAGUUGCCCAUUGGACCUUGUAAACUUCCUCUUCGAUAGAGCUGGCAACAGCAGAAUUUCCAAUGUUUGCAUUAACUUUGACCAAAAAUUUUCUUCCGACAAUCAUUGGCUCCAGCUCCAAGUGUUUCUUAUUGGAAGGGAUAAUUGCCCGCCCACGAGCUACUUCUGAUCUCACAAACUCUGGAUCAAGCUUCUCACGAGUGGCGCAGUACAACAUCUCCUCAGUUAUAAUUCCCUGCUUAGCAUAGUACAUCUGAGUGUAUCUUGGUGCACCUAAUUUGUCUCGCCUCUCAAUCCAAUCUUUCCGCAGUUCAGGGAGUCCUAUUUAUCAAUUUCAACCAAGUAAAUGGAUAAAGAAAUCUCAUUUAAGCCCAAAACACAAGAAUUGAAAGACAUUUUAGUGGAAACCACGUUAUCGAUCCAAAUUGAACAUUAUAUAACAAUUUUCAAUCAAAUGUUUCAGUUCGAGGGGUGAAGAAGACUACCAAUAAAACAGAUGUUGGUGCUUACCAACACGCGGGCUAAUGUUUUGUGGACCACUGGUAUCAUAGUUGUCAAAUGGAGGUUCAUCCCCAGCCAGGUGGACUCGUCGAAAGGGAACUUUUAGCACAUGACCAGUUUCUUCAUGAACAACUUCCCUGCCGGGCAAAUCACACAUCAGUACACCACAAAUCAAAUCACAUGUGUACCUUAUGAUUCACGAGUGAUUUAAAAGAUUUAACAAGUUAGACAUUUCAAGACGCACAAAAAAAAUCAAGUGGAGCAAUGGGAGAAGAGAAUGAGACAUACAUGUGUUCUUUUGUGCUCUUGGGAAAACAUUGUUCGAAAGAUGGAAGAGGCAGAAAAUCUGGAGAAGCGGGAUCAACUGUAUGCCUUGGUAGUUUGGGUUUCUCAGAAUUGGUUGCUGGGGGAUCAAAGGUUAGUGUAGCUUUAGCACCUGAGCUCGGGGAACUAAGGCACACUUCCUUCUUAAACGGACUUGAAAGACGCCCAACUGCAUCAAACCCGGGCAAGAAGGUAGUCGUCGGGAACUUUGCUGCAGAAGAAUGACUGCCAUUCUUGCACACAACCGGUGUCAGGGCACUAUGCACCGAUGCCAUAUCUGAAUUGAGCAAACAAUUGGGACAUCAAAAUUCAAUCCAGGAGCAACUAAAAACUACCUAGAUGCAUAUAGAAUUUACAGCCAACACAUUCACCAAGGCUCCCAUUUUACGAGGGUCAGGGGAGGAACGUCUAUAUUACACAGCAUUACCCUUGCUUUUGCAAAGAGGCUAUUUUCACGACUUAAACCCAUGACCUUUUUGGUCACAAAGGAAGCAACUUUCCGUUGCACCAAGCUCGCCCUCAGCCAACAGAUUCGAUGCAAAAAAUUUUAAUCCUAGGAUCAUGGUAAUUGGUAAAUAUCCAAAGGUAGGUAAUCUCUCCUCAUCCUACCAAGCAAUCUUUAUCAAGAUAUCAAAUUUAUAAGAAAGCAGAACAAGAUCAAUCCAAAGGCAUGUUAUUUUAUGAAACUUUCACCUCAAUCUUAUCAGUUCAUGUCUCCAAAACAUCAUAUCACAUGAAUAAUAACAAAUCUAACCAAAAAACAGAAAAUAAUUUUAUAAAACCAAUUUCCUAUUUUUAUUCACAAUUUCACAUCCAUGUCAGAAAAUGAACAAUUCCCAGGAAACCAAAAUCAUAAUAAGUUCGAGAAUUUGGGUUCAUUCCACAAGCACCUUAAACUUUCUAGGCAACCAAACAGAAAAUUAAGACCAACCCAAGUGAGCUAAAAGGAUUAAAAUGAGAGUGAACAUGUUGGGUUUUGAAGAGAGCGAAAGAAGAGAGAGAAAGGAAGAACCUGGAACCUGGAACCUGGGGCUGGUAGAAGAAGGAGGCUUCUCACAGUCUUAUCUUGUUCUCUCACUACGGAAAAUUUCAAAGACAAUCUGAGCACCUGCCUAGGAUUACGUUGUAGCAUUUUAUAGGGAGUUAAAAAGCAACGUCCUCGUGUGUGCUCCAAAAGGCAACCAGAAGGCGAACACUUACGUGGCUCCAAAUGAUUUUACCAGUCAGAUAUUUUCUAUACUCUCUUAACUCGAUGAAAAAUUAAUUCAUAUUACCUAUUAAUUUAGGAAAAAUGCUAAAAAAAUUUAAGAGUUUUAACGAAAAGCUCACGUAACUAUUCAUUCUAACGAAAAAUCAUUUUUUUACAUUAAAAAGUCAAACCUGGUACUAUUUAUUUUACUAUUUAUUUUAUCCUUAUCGUUAAAGUUUUUAAGCUCUUUCCAUUAAAUUUCCUACGAAACUUUGUCAAAACAAGAUUUUCUAUCACCUCUUUCAUGCUAACAUUAUAAAAUAUAGUACAAAACAUAUUAAAUUGAAUCAGACACAUUCUAUAAUAUUCUCAUCAAUGAAAAUCAAUAUACAUUACCUGUUAUUUAGUGGCAUUAAAUCUUUACUUCGUAUGGAAUUUUAAAAUUUGGUUUACUAGCUAUCAUAUUAGAAUCAUAGAUUUCAUUGAAACACACAACUCACAAGAUCACUCGGUGAUUUUGUCUCUCCAAACGUUUGCAACGAAUCCAAAAUAUAAGCAAUUUCGUAUAUAUUUUUCUUAGUUAUGUUGGAUCUAUUUAUGGGACUUGAUUGCUAAGCAAACAAAAUUACUAGACUAAUAUUGUCGAAACUAAAAUCACAAUGGUUGAAGAAGAAAAUGUGUCAAACUUGAACAACAAAACUUGUAAGUUCUGCAUGUUAUUAUGAAGAAUAUUUGCCUCCAAAGUCCAAACAUAAAAAGAGUAGCUAAUACAGUUUAGAUUGUCAUUACGUAUUAAGCAACUUGCUAAUUAUGCAUAAAAUAUGCCAUUGUGAUGCAAAAGCCGUCAAACGUGCUACGUCCGCAUUAGUAAUAUAUGUAAUAUAUAUGGGAAUAGAUUUUUUUUAUGAGAACUUUAACGAAAACUUUCUGAUAUUGUUCACUUUAAUGAAAAAUCAUAUUUUUAUACUAAAAAGUCAAUCCUGAUACUAUUCACUUUAAUCUUUAUUUUGUCCUUAUCGGUAAAACUCAAAGUUUUCAAGCCUUUUUCAUUAGUUUUCCUUUUUUUUAUACACAUUUUUGUAGGAUUCAUUUCGUACUGUAUUUCAACAAUGAAAACAGUUUAUCUUUCAGGUCUUUCCUAAAAGAUUAGGUCUACUAAAAAUCAUCAAAAUCUAAAAUCAUAUGACCGUUGGAUUAAGAGUUUAGGUUUUUUUUUUAAUUUUUUUUUUGGUAGAAUCUUAUUCUUCCAUCUUCUUUAACAAAAACUAAUGUAUUAAUAAUUUUGGAUUUGUUUAAUUUUUUGCAAAACAGUCUAUUAAUGAUCUUCUAAAAGAUUGACAACUCUGAUCGUUAAAAUUCAUCGUGGAGUGGGCUCUACGAAAACGUGUAGAAAAAAGUAGUGUUACAAAAAAAUAAAAAAAAUCAAUUAAACAUCAACUUUUAAUAAAAAUAAAUAUGAAUGAGUAAACACGCAUCUCUCAUUUUUUAUGUAAGAUUGUUUAUUAUCUAGCGGCUACUCUUGUUCUCCACCACUUAUUAACAUUACGCUCGUUAAUCAUUAAUGUAUCAUCGCAGAUAACUCUCAACCAUUGAUGCAUAAAGAAUUUAUCAAAUAACCAUUAGUAGAAAACCUACUUAUUCACGCUAGUGAACUCAAGCAUUUAUAGUCUUCAACAAACCGCAUAUUGAGACGAUUCUUGUUGCUACUUCCCUUUCCUCUCUACAAGGACACAAUAUUUUUCCUUUUUAAAUAUCUAAAGCUAAAAAAAAAAAAUAAAAAAAAAAAAGAAAAAAAGAAAAAAAAAAGUCCCCAUUACUUAUGUUUUGACCGUUUUGGUUCAUGUUACUUUUGUUGUGACCCAAUUAACAUUGUAUUGCUUAUAGACGAACAUUUUGUCUACCUAUAUAUAAAUAGUCAUUUCUCUUUAUUUAAAAAAUAUAAAUUAUUUAUUUAAAUAUUGAAAGAAACGUUCACGCACAUAUAUCAAAUUGUGAUAUGACUUUUUACAGGGAAAAGAAACCGAAUAUUUAUCAUCAUAAAUUAUCCCUGAAGUAAAUUAGUUGGCAUUUGGGUUCCCGUGGAUUGAAUCAUCAAAUUUGACCAACACAUAAUUGUCACUAAACAAUAAACAUAAAGUGGUUUCGUAGUGGAGAAAAAGUUGAAGUUACAAGUGAAUGAAUAGGACACUGAAAAUUUUACAGAAAGAUAUGGGGAUAGUGGUCCUUCAGCAGGUUAAGAUGUUUCUCUUCUUCCUUCGGCCAAAACCCUCAACACCAAACUCCUGCGUUGCUUUCAGAAAGGGACGCUGAUAUUUUUGCACUCCAUAAUAUCAAGGCAUAAAGAUUUACAGACUCGAUAAUAUCCAAAAAUUAGAAGAUGUUUUAAAUUUGUUGGGUUUUCUACCCUUAGCUCAACUAUUCUAAGGGUUUUCUACCCUUAGCUCAACUAUUCUACAAGAAAAAAUGUUUUAAAUUUGUUGGGUUUUAAAUUAGAAGAUGUUUUAAAAAUACGACAUGCACACCAUUCAUCUGAACAUUUUGAACCAAUAUAUGGAGAAUAUUAUAUAUUUCGUAUAAUAUUUAUCGUAUGCAACUCAUGAACAAUUACAAUUGCAGACACGACAGAUCAUGUGUAAUUAACAGGCAAUGUACAACAGUUUCAGAUACCAACCCGGUUGUGCUGAAGUUAAUAUGGUGACUGACACACUUGAGAAGGCUUGUACAGGUACUAUUCUCCGACUUUUUUCCCUGCUCUUAGGUUGGCAAACUUGGGCUGGUAAAUAGUGUGUCCAAACAAAGAGCGUGCUCACACUCAUUAAAAAAUGACCCAAAAUACACACAAGUUGCCAGUGGGAUCAGCAGCCAAUAACGAGGAUGAAUUCACUGACGGGAUAAUGGCACAAAGAGCAGUAAGCUACUCCAUAUUUCACACCGAGGAGAAGAAGUAUAACCAGGUUAUUAACCAGAGAUGGUCUGCAAUGAGGGAAGAGACUCUUGCUUGCCACUAAUGAAGAUUGAAAGUUCCGUUGGUGCAACCACCAAUUUUAACCACUUUUGUAGCUCUUCGCCUUCUACCUUUUCUUUUUCUGAAGAAGAAAACACUAUCAGAAUACCAUGAUAACUGCAAAAAGUCCGCACCCUAAGCUAAAGAUUUGCCAGUAAUAUGAGCAUACUAUUGUAUAUGAGAUUCCCUUAAGCUCAACAGAUUCAUAAAACCAGGAAAAUCUAACAAAUACAACUAUGAACUUGCAUCUUUGAUUGACGAGGCCCAUAGUAACUGCAGUAUAUAAGUUGCAGUACGACAAAUUUGCAAGUGAUUAUGAGAGAUUACCACUAACUUCCACAUGGCUAGAUGUCCAAAAGGCCAAAAGACUAAACUGAAACAGGACUUCAUUUCAUCAAUAGCCACUCUUAUUAUAAUUUUUUUUCCCACCUACUUUUAUUUGCAAGAAAAGCUCCCGGGAAAUUUGUAUCAUGCUAGUUUCUACCAAUUUGGCGCUACCGCAAAAGUACCAGUGCAUAUAACAAAAUAGCAAAAAGCUUCAAAUUAUAUAAAACCACAGAACAUAGGGAACAAUAUGAUAAUAUCAAAGAAACAAAAUAUCACCUUCCAACUGAGCACCAAGACCCUCCAAAACAGUAGGAUUAGCACGUACAACCGAAAGAGCUAUAUCCAAAGCAGAUUGUAGCAAAGCUUUAACCUCUCCUUGAACAAGAUCAACAAGAUGCCCCUGUUGUUAUCAUUCUAGGGUCAGUAUUAACAGCAAUAAAUUUAUUUUAAAAAAAAAACAAAAUAAAAAUAAAAAUGCACAGGACCUGAUCCCUUCCCCAAAGAGCACCUCCUCCAGACUCAUCCAUUCCACCAGCAGAAAGUGUUGCUAUAGACACAGGGCCAAUGUUGUGAUUGAGACCAUACUCAGCUACUGCUUUGUAUGCCAUGUCAGUUGCUCGUCGUAUAUCAUCAAGUGCACCCGUUGAGACACGACCUGAAUAUACAAAUUCUUCUGCUGCACGUCCUCCAAGAAGUGUAACCAAACGUCCACGCAACUCAUCAAUGAAGAGUAAAUAUCUAUCUUCCGUUGUUGGAGGAAUAUAAGUGAAGCCCAACGCCCCUCCUGAUCUUGGCAAUAUGCUCAAUUUCUGAUAACACAAAGACACAGCAAUUGGUAUAUCCAUGCAAAUUGAAAGUUAAUAAAUGAGCUACUGCAUGAGCAGGACUUGAAUUAUUCACAAUUUCUCGUAUUACAUUUCCAAGUUACUUUAUUCUUAUCCGUUCAUUAGUAAUAUAAAUAAGAACUAUUUUCAGUAAUCUCUAAAAAAUUCACCUCAACACGUGGCUGUCCAGGAAGAAGGCUUGCAACAGCAGUCCCCACUACUGCAUGACCAGCUUCAUGUCGUGCAACUACAGCCUUCUCACUUCCCUGCAACUUGGCAGUCUUCUUUUCUAUACCCUAUAACAAGUACUUCGGCUUAGUUUCUCUACUAAUUAAUAAAAAACUAACACAUUUCUUUUAAAAAUGUUUUCAUUGAGUGACUCGCACAGGGUGGUAAGAAAUGUGUUGCAAGAUUGUAUAUCAAGAAGCAUAAUCUUAAAAUAAAUAAUAAAAAAAAAAGGUCGUACCCAGUGCACAAGGCUCCCGCUUUACGCAGGGUCUGUGAGAGGUGAACAAGGAAAUGGGGAUCUCGGGUCAUUCCAUACAAGUACAAACAAUAUAGACUAGUGGUAUUCCUCUUCACUUAUAAGUGAGAGGUCUUAGGUUUGACUCUCGCCAAAGGCGAAUUUGAACCACAUUACUGCAAGCCCAUUGUGAGGCUUAGCCUACUCCCCCACCCCCUUAGCGUAGAUAAGAUUGUUUGUUCAAAAAAAAAAAAAGUACAGACACUACAGAAGAUCAGGACAAAAACCAAGUGGACUAAGGGUUGUACAAAUAUAAACAAUACCCUAAGAGACCAACAACAUUGACCAUGUAAAAAAAUUCUAAUAGUGAACAUACGAAAGAGAGAAAAUUGAGAAACUACUAAAAUAACGAAAUAUGAUUUAUUACAGUUUCCAAUCAUAAUUCAGGGAAAUAGGUUUAACUGAUACUUGAGUAUGUGGAACAAGGGGAGAGAGACUUACAGCUAUUAAUCUCUCCACAGCUUGAAUAAAAUCAAUUUUUUCCACAACCAACUUGCUUUGUCUUCCAGCCAAUAAAGCAGCUUCAUUCACCAAAUUUGCGAGAUCUGCCCUGCAGGAUAUAUAUCAGAAAUGUCAUUCCCAAUCUACUGGUCACAAACAUGACUUUUUCUUCAAUUGUUUAAUUAUUUACUGUUCAUUGCAGACUUUAAACACACUGAAAAUUGAGCAAAUAAUAACACAUACCCAGUAAAGCCAGUGGUCAUAGAAGCAAUGUCACCAAGGUAGACAUCUUUUGCCAAAGGAAGUUCUUUUUGGUAGCAUGCACCUUUAGAAUCUCUUCUCUUCCUCUCCUAUCUGGUGUUUCCACCUAACGAGAAAAGACAGGCUUUAAUGUGAUAUAACAUUAUGUACAUUCGUAAAAAAAUACAUAUAUACAUACUUAUGAGGAAUAAAUUGUUUCCAUGUGAAACUUGUUUUCAUAUCAUUUAAAACUCAGAAAGAUACUAGAGAAGGACUACAAACCAUAACCACACGAUCAAAUCUCCCUGGUCGACGAAGUGCUGGGUCUAAGACAUCGGCGCGAUUAGUUGCUCCAAGAACAAUAACCGCAGAGUUGCUGUCAAAUCCAUCCAUCUCCUGCAUUUGAAUUCGUACAUAUGAAUGUCAGUGACAUGUAGCCAAAGUCACCCAGAUGCUCAAAACUAAGUGGCAGAAAAAAGCUUACAGUGAGUAACUGAUUCAAGGUUUGUUCUCGCUCAUCAUUGCUGACAAUACGGAAUUUUCCAUCACGGCUUUUUGCCACAGCAUCUAUCUGUGCAAAAGAAGAAAUAUUAACUAAUCCACUAAAACUAUAUAGGUCAAGAAUCAAGAUAGUUACACAACAGAAUUACAUUGUCCAUAUUCAUACCUCAUCAAUAAAUAUUAUGGAUGGUGACUCCUUUUUUGCCCGUGCAAAUAGAUCCCUUACACGAGAGGCACCCAUGCCAACAUACAACUCUACAAACUCACUAGCAGAGCAACUUAUAAAGGGCACAUCAGCUUCCCCAGCCACAGCCUUGGCAAGAAGAGUCUUACCUGUCCCAGGAAGACCCACCUGUAAGAUAAACAAGCCAUGCUUACUAGUUAUUACACAAACAGAGAACAAAGCCCUCUUCCACAAAUCCUCCAGUAAUGUACCGAAUUACAACCAGUGAAUGGGACCAUUCAAGGGUAAAACUAUAUGAUUCUCCAGGUGCAAAGAUAUAUCUGGUCAUUGAUACAAUACACCCUAACAGUCGACCAAUAGCAAAUCAAGUGUCAAAAGGAUACUACAGAAAGUACUCCUAAGUGAGCAGUAGCGCUCUAUGUUACCCUAUCUACAACCGGUGUCAAUUCCCUAUCUGUCCUGCCUCCGUGCCAAAAAAUACGUGGCAUGGGAGUCCGGGAAAGGCAUACCAUAGUUGGCUCAUCAAGUUAACCAUAAAUGCUAAACAUUUGAAUUGAGACCAUUAACUUCCCACUCCCUGGUUUUCGAGGUCUAAUUCAUCAUUGAUUAAUUAGUCUUUUGGUAACUCACCAGGAGAACUCCACGUGGAGGACGAGCACCAAGUCGUAUAUACUUGUCUGGAUUCCGAAGAAAUUCCUGGCCAGAAAACAUGGGCAUAAAUAAAAAUGGAAUAAAAAUUCAGAAACAGUAGGACACCUUUUAGGAUCCUCUAAAAGACUCUGAUGAUUCAUUUGGUGAUAUCAAAGUAAACUGAGGAGUAUCCAACGUACCACAAUUUCUUCUAGCUCCGCUUUGGCCUCAUCAACGCCAGCAACAUCAGCAAAGGUUAUUGCUUCCCCUUGUUCGGAUGCUUUAGCACCAGCAGAGCCCCCAGAUUUCCUGUUCCUAAUCUGACCAGCUGUUUGCUGUACAUAAGAAUGUACUCAAUGAGAACCAUAUAGCACAUGCUUAAAAGAACAAAAAGAAAGAGACAAAGGGUUGAAAGAAAAAAGCACUGGCUCGCACCUGAGUAAAGUUAACAGGGAACCUGUGGAGAAGCCCUGCAAGCACAGCAGCAUAAAACAAAGCUAUCUGCAAGGACCAAAGCCAAGUCAACUGAUUAAAACUUCUUCCAUACAACAUCUUUAACUUCUAUCAAAAUACAUACCCGCGAACAGAAAAGAAAACGUCUUAUGAAUAGAAACACAUGUUAAAACAUAAGGGGUUGCAUGUUAGUAUAUAGUUCAUACACUGAGAUUAUCAUAAUACUCGUAUUCAGUCCUUCUACACAUACAAAUCUAAUAUAAUUUGUAUGUAUUAGCAUAUGUGGUUAAGUUCCAAACAUGACUACUUAGUCGACAAGAAUUGAUCUUUGCUUGUUUUUGUCAAGAUAAUUGUUUACAGCAGCAUAACUAAACAGCAUCAAACAACCAAAAACUCACCAUUGCAGAGUUCAAGAAUCCGCCUGACCGUUUAUCCGGUGACCCGAACUCCACCUCAUUCUCAAGCAUUUUCUCAUACGGCGUCUUGAUAUCAGUUGGCCUUGUCGUCGUGUAAACCACCCUCUUUGUCGGAGCCACGCUUCUUACCAAAGCCUCCGAUUCCUGAAACUUGCUCGCCCCACCACCACUCACUUCACUUUCUUGCUCACCCUGCUCAGACUUCAACUUAAACAUAACAUGAACCCCAUCAACCUCAACCUUCUGCACCUGGUUACUAUUAAUCUUGCUCAGAAAAUCACUGUACGGCACGCUAACGAACGUGGUGGGCGUCCUCGGCUCCGACCCAGGUAACGGAAUUCCGGGCCGGAGCAACCGCAUGACGAAAAUUACAAUACCCAAUUGUAACAGCAAGAUUCCAAUUUCUUGUGCCUGAACUAUCGGCUGCCACCGCCAUUUCCCUCCUUUCGACCACCACCAAUUCUCUUUCUUUCGACUCUCUCGCCGCCGAUUUGAAGCCGGCGAGCUCGAACUUGGCGGGUUAUUGUUCACAGCCUGGCCCUCAGUCGGCUUCGCCUCGCUCUUCUCCCCGGAAUCGGUGUCCUGACCGCUCGCCGAAACCCGAACCUUUCGAAACCCUCCGUGGUUCCUCCAGAGGCCGCCGAACCUCUCGGAAACUCUCACAGCUCUGCCACCCUGUCCGUGCAACGUGACCGGAGGAAACACCGCCGCGUUCGAAACGCACCGCCUCGGUUCCUGGUUGAAACCCCUCGAUUGACUGCGGAGGAAUCCCAAUCCAUGGCGGCAAUGAUAAGCAUUAGAAUUCAAAUUCAGGCAAAACCUAUUGUGGAUUGUUGGACGUAAAUACUCGACCGACGACAUCCCAGAAAAACCCUAGAAAUUACAAAUUCAAAAGUUCAUGUAUGCAUGUUUCAUAACUCUCCCUAUCCGAUAAAAAAAGAGAAAUUCUUGAGCUCUCCCAAUGCCCCUCUGAGACAAAAGGUCGGAACUUUUAGGAACACAGUAGAGAGAGAAAGAGAGAAAGAGAGAUGAUAAAAAACGAGAUUAAAUUUGGGAUGCUAACCGUCGGAUCAAGUAGGAGUUGGACAUCUUAACCGUCAACUUUCCUUUUUCCGUAUCGUUAUCCUCCGUUUUUUCCCUCUACCUCGCCCACAAGCUUCGCGCCCGUUAAUUGGCUUUCUUUAUUUAAUUAUUUAUUUUUUUGUUUAAAAAACAAACGAUAAAUAAUCUCUACUAAUUAAUAAAAAAUAUAUGAUAUCCACACAUCAUUUUUUACUUCUCUCACACAUUUUUAAUUUUCAACCGUCGGAUCGGAUGAAUUAAAGAAGAUCAACGAACAGUAAUUAACAAAGGGUGUGUGAGAAGUAAAAAGGGAUGUGUGGAUAGCACAUCCCUUAAUAAAAUAGUCAUUAUCAACCAAAAUCUUAUAAAAUUAUCAAUUUAAUCCUCUAAUUAAAACAAAACAUGAAUAAGAAAUAUGAGGCAGAAAUGUAAUUUCACACAAACAAAUUUUGCUGUUUUUUUUUUCAAAACGUCAUCUACAUGUAAUCCUAACAUAUAUCUAAUUAUAUAAAAAAAAUAAAAAAAACUUCUCACUCUCACGUUUUCUAUCACUCCCCUUUUCUCUCAUUCUAUUUCAAAAACAAAAAUAAAAAAGUUGAGAAGUAUUAUUAGCACUCCAAAAAUCUCAUUCUACGCUCUGUAUUUUUCUAACUAAAUAUAGAAACUUUGGAGUGUAGAAUGAAAAUUUUGAAGUGUCAAUAACAAUUCCCAAAAAUUUUCUCACACACUUUGUGUGUGCCCAUAUGCUAGUAUAUUUUACAAAAUGAUAAACUUACUAACCACUCUAUCACUACAUAGAUUUUUCAGUGUCCCUAGAGUAUGAAGAAAUUUUUAGAGGCAGGUGGUGUUUUCAUAAGAGGGAAUCUAACACUUAGAUAUUCUUUUAUUUUCCUUUUUAAUUAACUAAAUUUAGAUGUUAAAUUCUCACAUGUGGAGAAUUCCACCUGGCACAAGUGUCAGCAACACCUAAAAAGCGCAAUAUAUUAUUAUACAAGUAAAGAAAAGUUUUUUUUUUUUUUUUUUUUAUCAAAUAUACAUCCUCUUGUGUAAUGAUGUAUGACAUAUAUGUUCAUUUUUCGACUAUACUAAAAAAUUUCUCCUCACUACAUGGGUGGUUUUUAAUUUUUUUUAAUUUAAAUUUUCUUUUGAAAAUUCAACAAGAGUAGAACAAUUUGGAAUUACGAAAGCUUCACUCUUUUUGCUUUUUAUAUAUAUAAAUAAAAUACGCUAAAAAGAUAAUAGACAUAUAUAGAGUUGUGAUUGUCCGUGUCUUAAUACUUGUAUGAUCGUUUAACUUGUUAUAAUAUGAGUGAAACAAAAUGGUUAUGGAUUUCUAUAAAUAUAAUAUCAAUAAUUACACACUUCUGAUUUAAUUAUACCAUGUGAUGGUACGCAUGCUACAUUCAGAUAAGGCUUAAUACACAUAUAUUGAGCUUGCUACUUUUUCCCUCGCGGUCAGACGGGCAAUGCUGUGGCCCUUGUUGAGGCCGACAAAGACCCCACUCUUGCCCGCUGUGGGAACCAUUUCCUUGGCGCGGCUCAGAGAAAACCCUAGAUCUUGGCUUGGCGGUGGAGAGUAUGCACUUAGAGGUUAGUUUCACCAACACGUGUUCUAACAUAUGACCAGUAUUUUGGAAAAAAAAUAUAUAUAUAUAUAUAUAUAUAUAUAUAUUUUUUUUUUGAGGAACACGCCCAGUAGACAAAGUCAUAGUACAAUUAGUUAAAUUUUUUAUUUAAAAGUAUAAUUACUUUUAAUAUACUGAGGUUUUUUUUUUUUUCAAGUGAAAGAUUUGUUAAAUUGAAUGCUAGAUUAAAAAAUCAAUUAAAUCGAAUUCACAUCGUGAUGUAAGAGCAACAUUUUUUUCCAUCAUUAUAAAAUGAUGGAGAAUAGAGAGAGAAGUCAUUUUAUUUUUAGCAUAAAAAAGUAUACAUUAAAUAAUAAGGUAUCAAAAUUGAGUGAGCUAUUUAAACUACAUACGUUAAAAUAAGCAAUUAAAGCAUGAAGUUACAAAAAAACCUCCCUGGACUACAGGUUGUUAAGCCGUGUGGCUCCGCCCUUGCCACUGGGCUCCUGCAGUGAUUUCGUGUUUGUAUCUAUUAAUAGUUAUUGUGACUUGCAUCUCUGGAACCCAUCAACAAGAUUUGUAUGCAAAAUACCGAACCCCAAUUUUAUGGGAAGAUAAAAGACUCUACGACAAUGGCGGAGCCACCCACAAGGCUUAGGUGGGUUGUAGCUCAGGAAGGUUUUCUGUAUAGUGCUAUUCAUGCACUCAUUUUUACUUUUUACAUAUCUUUCUCAAUUUUUUAUUAUCGGAUUGAAUGAAUUAAAGAUGAUUAAUUGUAAAAAAAUAAUAAGGGUGUGCUGGAUGUAAAAAUAGAUGUGUGGACAACACUAUUCUUUUGUAAACUCAUGCUUAUAGCCCACUCAAUUUCAAUACAGGUUAUUGUUUAUUGUAUAUUUAGUAGAGGAUAUGUAGUAAAUAAUACGUUUUAUGCUAAAAAUUAAAAAAUAAUUCUAUCUCCCAUCCUCCUUUUAUCCUAUUUAUUAAAGAAAAAAAAUCAUUUACCCUAUGCAAUUUAGCAAUUGUGCUUCUUACUCAAGAAAGGAAAAAUAAUUUUUUUAACUCAACAAUUAAAUCCCUAUCUUCGCAAUUCCUUAUUUAUGUUGCAAUUUUUUAAUGAAUGUCACCUUUGAAUGUACCUUUUAUACUGAUUAUUAUAUAAUUUUAUAUAAGCAAAAAAAUAACAUAUGAUUUUAUUUUACUAAUUUCAGCUAGCCCACCCAAGAAAAGAAUCAUGCAUCCGCCCUUGCUCUACGAAUGCAAGUUCCAAUUUAGGGUUUGGGUUAUGUGUCGGCUAUACUGAUGACUACAAGCUCUUUGUAGCUGAUCUUACUAGGAAUUUUGAGACUGUUGUGUAUAUGGAGAUGUUCUCGUUGAGAGCUAACUAUUGGAAAGGUAUUCAUGUCCCUGACCAUGAGAGUGAUGAAUCGGACUUGGAUUGUCUGCCCUCCCCAUCUAAUACCCUUCCCAUCUCCUUCUAUUUCUGUGAUCACGGUUAAGCCACGUCAACAUUUUAUAUUCUCAUUACUUUUUGUCUUAUUAUUUCUAUAAAAAAAAUCAAUAUAAAAUAUUAACGUAGCUUAACCGUGACCACAGAAAAUAAGAGAGGAUUAGAAGGGAAUGACAGACAAUCCAAGUCUGUGAUGAAUCUGGCCUUGUAGAUCUCGUCAGUCUUUUCAAAUUCAUAUACAAGUCCAAAACAGGCAUCCCAAACCAUAGUUACCUCAAUCCGGACAUCAUGAAAAAGUCAAAAAAUUCACUUUCGAAGAUAUGACAACAGGAAAUAAUCCUUUAAUCCUUAAAUUGCUAUUCUCCAAUCACUUUUCUUCGCUAAAUGUCGCUUCCUCCGUUUAAUUUAUUACAUGUAAAAUAACCAAAAUUUUGAGCAUGAGGUGCGUGAACCCUUUUUUUGUCAAACAAUAUAUUUUGUUAAAUUAGAUGUUAGAUUAGCUACCGACGGAGAACCAAUGCUAUCAUGCAAGGGCUCAAUUCCUUUCCACCAUUGUGGUAAAGGACCACUUGCAGGUGCAUGAAUCUUGGACUAUUCUCUUUAAAUUUGACAUUGGUGACCUACAUGUGCUGACCCAUCGGAAAUAGAAUUUAUACGGUGAUAAACCAAUCUUCAUUACUGAAAACGUAUCUGUGAAAUUGAUCAGGAUUGAAUGUGUUAAAGAAGAGAAGCCUGUUUGCAGUCGCUCUUAUAGCCUGAAUAAGGUGCCGUUAAGUAAUAUAUCUCUGACGCAGUUUGAAUUCAUCACCCUAUAUGUUAGUGUCUUUUUGUCAGGAGUUUAGUUUCAUUUGUUUCUAACUAACCUUGCUUUAUGUAGAUUUGGUAGUCUUUCUAUUCCUGCAAUUCUGUAUGAAGACUUCCGUUAUCCCAAUCCUAUUUCUUAAUUCUACAUCUACAACAUCUUUGAUCCGAUCGAAAUAGGAUUUGGUUUUUUUUUUAUAUUUAUUUCAAUGGCCAGUAAUUUUUUAUUUCACCAGGUGGUUUGCUACCCGUUUAUUUGGGACAGGGCAUACCUUAUUAACCUAAAAGUUUAGGGCGUGCUUAAUUUGACCUUGAGGUGACAAUGAGUCACUCAUCCAUCACAUAAUCAAUCUAUUUAAUGUCUUACUUAGUUAUAAGUCGAUGCUACUAGAAGUAUUUUAGGGCUUGUUUACUAAUCUGUAAUCAAAAUGAGAGGAAUUGAAUUGAUGGGGAGUUGGAAUUGAAUUCCUGUUGUAACUGUUUACUAAAAUUAUCUGGAAUUGGAGUAAAAAUAGUAUUGAUUUUGUAUAAGUUGUUUACUAAUUUACUGGAAUCGAAAUACCAUCCAAUACAAUUACUAAAAUGCCUUUAUCGAAAAUAAUAAAUUGUAUUAUUAUUUAUAUAUACUAAUUAAUAAAAACAUUUAUUUAUUAAAAGAGAGAAAAUAAAUAAAUAAAAAAUAAAAGAAAUCCUAAUCAAUCUUAUCCCUUUUUCUCUUUCGUCAAAAAAAAAAAAAAACUUAGAGCUUGUUUGGUAUCCUAUUUGAAAUUUUUUAUAAUUUUUCAAAACAUUUCUUAAGAAUUUUUCUUGAAAACAAUUUUCUUUAAGACUCAAAAACUUGUUUGGUAUGUGAUUUAAAAUUUUUAAAUCUUACAACUAAAACUGGACAAAAAGAUUCAUAAAAAGGGGGUCGAGAGAGAAAUAGGAGAGAGGAGGAAAGAAAGUAAGAGAUGAUCGGAGGAAAGAGAAAGAAGUGAGAAGAUCGGAUGAGAUAGAGAGGAAGAUGAGUGAGAGAAAGAAUCGAGAGAAUGAAGAGAGCGGAUUGGAGGAGAGACGAAAAAAGUUAAAAAAAAAAAAGAGAAGGGGGAGAGAGAAAGAAGAAAAGAGAGAUAGAUUUGGAGUGAGAGGGAAUGAGGGAGAGAAAAGAAAUGAGUGAGUUUAAGUUUAAAAACUCUAAAAACUCAUUUUUUGUGUUUUUAGAUAAUAAACUAUAUUUUUGAGUUAGUCUUGAGUUCAGUUUUUAAAAAUAAUCCUACCAAACAAGUUUUAAGGCCUAAACUUGAAAAUUGUUUUUGAGUUUAAAAAGUUGGAUUCAAGUAGAAUACCAAACAGAGUCUUAUCUUUCUAUUCAUAGAAACCCACUCCUCAUCGCCAUCGUAACUCUCUCUCUCUCAAUCCAUUGCGUUAUAAUUUCAAGAUUAUCUGUUUCAAGUUCACGGCAUCUAAUGGCAAGUGGAUUUUGGUUGGGUUGAUGGCCUGGGGUGGUUGCGAUGAUCAGGGAAGGAGUGGCAUUGGUCAAGGGCGCUGGGCAACAGAGGAUGGAUCUGCUCUGGUAAUGAGAAGGGUAGUGUAGGAAUUUUGAAAAUAAAGUGAGGGUAUAAUUGGUUGAAGAUUUGCAUUCUGGAUUCCUCAUAACACCUGGAAUUGGAUUACCACUUACAUCUAAGAAAUCCAAUUCCACCAAUAAAAGGAAUUGAAUUCCAAAAUUUGUGUGGGCCCCACUGCUUUUUUAAUUCCUCAAUAUUUAGUAAUUAAUACCGAAUUACUCUGUAAUCGAAAUUCAAUUCCACAUUUUCAUUCCAAUUACGGAUAUAAACACGCCCUCAGUAUAUUUUGCUGCAACAGAUAACUUGGAUUCCAGAUGUUUAGAAAAUCUGCUCUACAUAUCUAGACCUAGAUAGCUCACCUAGCAUAAGGUCGCUUGUAAACAUUUGGUAGUUUAGGGACUUUGGAGCUUGGAUCAAGAAUGCUUUAACACACAAGAAAUUCAAAAUGGCAUUGCAUUUUAGCAACUCAUAUUUCUUGUCGCCAUAGCUAUGGAAGUGUCGUAUGGUGGCUUUUACAGAAUCACCUUGUAGAGUUCCAGUAGCAAUACCCGAAAAUAUUGAAUCUUAUUUUCCACUUGGGUAUAUAGCUUUGAGAGUUGUAACUCAAGUUCAUAUUGGCAGUAUCUUACAGAUUUUAAUUUGUGGGCAGUGAAGUCAAAUCUUGAUGGUGUUAAAUUUGAAGAGUGUGUUCUUUCAGUUCUUUGGUGCAUUUUUAUAAGACCCUUUUAUUAUUGCCGUUCAUUUUGGCAUAAAUUAAACAACUGAAUUGCUAGCUGAGAGUAAAACUAAUGUAUAACAAAUGGCCGAAGGAAAUAGACCUAAGGAAUACAAAAGGGCGCAGCAAUAAUUUACAGAUUAGGUGUAUGUGCUCUGUUUUGGAUCCAUGAUACCUUGUCGAAAAAAGUGUGGCGUCCCAAUUUAAACUCACUGGUUUGCUAUGAUAUAUGAUGGAUUUUAGCGCCGUUUGGGCUUCCAAAACUACAUUUUAAAUUCUAUAAUAAAAAUCGGAUCAUUCGAUUUAAGUAUGAUUAAUGUUGUUCUUAUUCCCAAAACCCUUGAGCCUUUCCGAGGCUGUUUUUGAGUCUAUUUAAUCCAUUUGGCUCCCAAUGUAAUGCAUCAAUUUAGAAAUAAUCAAGACAACCUUUCGGUUUUAUCCCAAUCUCUAGUGGAUUCCACAAACCUUUAUUCUUCAAGAUUUACGUUUGUAAUCCUUUAUGCUCGUGCUGCAUCAAAAACUGUUUACCUGAUUCGAAAUAAAAUGGAAGCCAUAUCCGUGCAAGAAAGAGACAUAAUUUGUUGAGGCAGGUGGGAAUUUCAACAACUCAAAGAAAAGGACCGCGCACGACCACACCACUUCCAACUCAAGGUCCGGUGCCAAUAUGCUGACUUCCUAGAAGCGAAGGGUAGUACUUUCCGCCAUUGGAAAACUGGUGGGUGCAUUCCAGCAAGUCGUAUUCCACUUUUAGAGACUAGUAAAACAUUAACAUCGUUCACAUCCGUUGUAGCAAAAACAAAUUGAUAACUUUCAAUAUGGGCUUCGACUCUGAUAGUGGAAUACAUUAGGUUUCUAAAAGCCCUCACUACAUUUUGGUACAAAAUUAAAACUUAAGAGCUAGUUUGAUAACCAAUUCGUUUUAAGUUUUUUAUUUUAUUUUUAAUUAUAUAGAUUGAUGAAAAAUAUGUGAUCUGAAGAUCAAUGAAGAUAGGCGAAGGAUAGAUGGUGAAAGCAGUAUGAAUCGAUGUUCUAAAAAGCAGUCUAGACAGCUAACCAGUACCACGAUUAAUUACUAAAAGGUUAGAAAAUUAAGUAUGGCAGCUACGUGGAUCUAGGCAGAAUAAGUGUUUGUUUUGUUUUUUUUUUAAUUAACUUUGAGUCUUGACUCACCAUUUCCCAGACAAAAAAAAAGGAAACCAAGAAUGCGAUGUGGUCAUCUCUCUUUGCGAUAGUUCUUUGAUGUUUUCAAUAAAUUGUAGUACUUUAUAUAAUUUAUUUAUAUUUAUAUUUUUCAUUUUAAGUUUCCCCAUUACAAGUAUAAUUUUUGCUUAUUUUUAAAAAAAUAUGUAUAUACACUUAUUUGUAUGUCAUAUAAUAAAUUUAAUUAAGAUAAAAAAAAACCUUAGGCCACUAGUUAGAACCCUACCCGCCGCUCGAUAAUGACCUAGCGAUAUUUAAAACAUUGGUGUGAAGGGAGUAUGUUUGGAAAUCAAACACAAAAUUUCUUGAUUAUGCUCCCUCAGCUGAUUUUCAGAACGCCCUUUUGAUUAUUUCUUCGAAUGGUGUAAAGCCCAAGUUUGGAAGUUAUAAUCCACAACCCUUAGGUUCCAUAAACUUUCCGGAGGCCGGAUGAGGCGCUGAAGUUCCAGGUUAGGGGUCCAUGUCCCCACGCUCAUAGGCCGCCUAUCGUAACCUCGCUUAAUAGGGCUCGAUCCUCCUAAGCUGCUAACCGAACACGACGAAAUGGGCUAAAAGAAACUCCUCUAAUACUAUCAAUUUGAAUUUUUUAGAUUCUUCUAACAUCAUAUAUAUAUUGAUAAGUAAAUAUGUAUGUAAAUGAACCUGUAAAAAAACAAAUGAAAUGACUUAAAUUAAUCCUUGCGAUGUAAUGAAAAAAUCCUUUUGAUAAGCAUGCAUAACUUUUGGUUAUGUUGGAGUUUCUAGAAAUGAGGAGUUGGUUAAUGAAACUAGAAUAGGUUAGGUGGUUUGCAUCCAGUGUGUUAUCAGUUAGUACGUUAAAGAAAAAACAAAAACUAAAGAACCAGAAAACUAGUCAUGUCAAAAGAAAUAGGUUUCUUUACCUUCUACACUCCUAAAUUUAGACCCAUACCCGCUCCUUGAGUUGUUUAUAAAUAUGAUCUCCGUUCAUCCAUUCCAUAAAUCAAACAAAUAUUUGUAAUCACUUCAUCAAUUUAAGAAACAUACACCUUGAGAAAUGGACUCCUCAAUCGGAUAUGCAACUUUCAUUGCAUCAUUGCUCUUAUGUCUUUCAUCGUCUCCAACACCAUUUGCAAAUGCAAGAGCGUCUCCAUUAAUUAGAAGCGUUUGCAAGCAAACCCAAGACCAAUUCGGCUACAACUACAAGCAAUGCGUAAAAUCUCUUUGGAAAGAUAUUCCAACUCGAUCAGCAUCUAAUCUCAAAGAUCUUGACACAGCCAUUCUUAAAUUAGCACUAACAAACGCACAACAAAGCAAAGCUUUCUUUGUCAAUGCGCUCAACACCACCGGCAACAAUAUUGUUAAGGACUCCGGAGCAGUAAAACAAUGUGCAGAUUCAUAUGAUUUUGCAGUAGACGGUUUCGCUUUCUCAAUGCGAGGGAUCAAAGAUAAUGACAAAUCAGUCUCCCAAAUACUCACACAAGUACAAGACGAAAUUGUUUGUUGCGGAAAAGCAUUGACCUCUACCGAAAUUGAACUUCCUUAUUUAGUAUCUUCGACAAACUUUUUGACCAUGUUAUAUAGGGAUGUUGCAUUCCUCAUUACUUCCC
rnacentral:lncRNA from 1 species